GGCUGAAAUCUUAGGUAAAUCCGGGGUUUCAAGGCCGAGAGCUGAUGACGAGUCGUCUUUUAGAUGACGAAGUGGUUGAUGCCAUGCUUCCAAGAAAAGCUUCUAAGCUUCAGGUAACCAGGAACCGUACCCCAAACCGACACAGGUGGUCGGGUGGAGAAUACCAAGGCGCUUGAGAGAACUCGGGUGAAGGAACUAGGCAAAAUGGCACCGUAACUUCGGGAGAAGGUGCGCCGGCUAGGGUGAAGGAUUUACUCCGUAAGCUCUGGCUGGUCGAAGAUACCAGGCCGCUGCGACUGUUUAUUAAAAACACAGCACUCUGCAAACACGAAAGUGGACGUAUAGGGUGUGACGCCUGCCCGGUGCCGGAAGGUUAAUUGAUGGGGUUAGCGCAAGCGAAGCUCUUGAUCGAAGCCCCGGUAAACGGCGGCCGUAACCAUAACGGUCCUAAGGUAGCGAAAUUCCUUGUCGGGUAAGUUCCGACCUGCACGAAUGGCGUAACGAUGGCGGCGCUGUCUCCACCCGAGACUCAGUGAAAUUGAAAUCGCUGUGAAGAUGCAGUGUAUCCGCGGCUAGACGGAAAGACCCCGUGAACCUUUACUGUAGCUUUGCACUGGACUUUGAGCCUGCUUGUGUAGGAUAGGUGGGAGGCUUUGAAGCGUGGACGCCAGUUCGCGUGGAGCCAUCCUUGAAAUACCACCCUGGCAUGCUUGAGGUUCUAACUCUGGUCCGUAAUCCGGAUCGAGGACAGUGUAUGGUGGGCAGUUUGACUGGGGCGGUCUCCUCCUAAAGAGUAACGGAGGAGUACGAAGGUGCGCUCAGACCGGUCGGAAAUCGGUCGCAGAGUAUAAAGGCAAAAGCGCGCUUGACUGCGAGACAGACACGUCGAGCAGGUACGAAAGUAGGUCUUAGUGAUCCGGUGGUUCUGUAUGGAAGGGCCAUCGCUCAACGGGUAAAAGGUACUCCGGGGAUAACAGGCUGAUACCGCCCAAGAGUUCAUAUCGACGGCGGUGUUUGGCACCUCGAUGUCGGCUCAUCACAUCCUGGGGCUGAAGCCGGUCCCAAGGGUAUGGCUGUUCGCCAUUUAAAGUGGUACGCGAGCUGGGUUUAGAACGUCGUGAGACAGUUCGGUCCCUAUCUGCCGUGGACGUUUGAGAUUUGAGAGGGGCUGCUCCUAGUACGAGAGGACCGGAGUGGACGAACCUCUGGUGUUCCGGUUGUCACGCCAGUGGCAUUGCCGGGUAGCUAUGUUCGGAAAAGAUAACCGCUGAAAGCAUCUAAGCGGGAAACUUGCCUCAAGAUGAGAUCUCACUGGGAACUUGAUUCCCCUGAAGGGCCGUCGAAGACUACGACGUUGAUAGGCUGGGUGUGUAAGCGUUGUGAGGCGUUGAGCUAACCAGUGCUAAUUGCCCGUGAGGCUUGAUC
rnacentral:rRNA from 1 species